GACAGAGGUCCCGAGCGUUAGGCGGAAUCACUGGGCUUAAAGCGUGUGUAGGCGGAGUUCUAAGUACCUUGUGAAAUCCCACGGCUCAACCGUGGAACUGCUUGGUAUACUGGUUCUCUUGAGCCACCUAGGGGCAACCGGAACAAAUGGUGGAGCGGUGAAAUGCGUAGAUAUCAUUUGGAACGCCAAUGGUGAAAACAGCGCGCUGGGGAUGUACUGACGCUGAGACACGAAAGCCAGGGGAGCAAACGGG
rnacentral:rRNA from 1 species